AUUGAACGCUGGCGGCAGGCUUAACACAUGCAAGUCGAGCGGGGAAAAGUAGCUUGCUACUUGACCUAGCGGCGGACGGGUGAGUCAUGCUUAGGAAUCUGCCUAUUAGUGGGGGACAACAUCUCGAAAGGGAUGCUAAUACCGCAUACGUCCUACGGGAGAAGGCAGGGGACCUUCGGGCCUUGCGCUAAUAGAUGAGCCUAAGUCGGAUUAGCUAGUUGGUGGGGUAAAGGCCUACCAAGGCGACGAUCUGUAGCGGGUCUGAGAGGAUGAUCCGCCACACUGGGACUGAGACACGGCCCAGACUCCUACGGGAGGCAGCAGUGGGGAAUAUUGGACAAUGGGGGGAACCCUGAUCCAGCCAUGCCGCGUGUGUGAAGAAGGCCUUUUGGUUGUAAAGCACUUUAAGCGAGGAGGAGGCUACCGAGAUUAAUACUCUUGGAUAGUGGACGUUACUCGCAGAAUAAGCACCGGCUAACUCUGUGCCAGCCGCCGCCGUAA
rnacentral:rRNA from 1 species